GCAAACUUGGUCAUUUAGAGGAAGUAAAAGUCGUAACAAGGUUUCCGUAGGUAAGUUGAAAGCAUUCCAUCUUACCACCCCCUCAAGGACCAUAAUAUGCUAACUUUUUCUCAAAGGUGAACCUGCGGAAGGAUCAUUAUCGAGUGUUGAACCCCCCCAUAAAAAGGGGGGUUUACCUCCCGUCCUUUGCUGGGUGGCCCCUAUUCCAUCGGAAGGGGGUUGCUUUUCAGACCUUUCUGCUUCGGCGGGGUUACCUGCCGGAACAACCUCAAAAAUUCUUAGUCAAAACGGUUCAGUCCGAGAAAACUUUUGAAAAAGCGAAAACUUUCAACAACGGAUCUCUUGGUUCUGGCAUCGAUGAAGAACGCAGC
rnacentral:misc_RNA from 1 species